rnacentral:rRNA from 1 species
CCUACGGGAUGCAGCAGUGAGGAAUAUUGGUCAAUGGGCGGGAGCCUGAACCAGCCAAGCCGCGUGAAGGAAGAAGGCGCCAGGCGUAGUAAACUUCUUUUGUCGGGGAACAAAGAGCGCCACGAGUGGCGUUGUGAGUGUACCCGAAGAAAAAGCAACGACUAACUCCGAGCCAGCAGCCGCGGUAAUUCGGAGGAUGCGAGCGUUGUCAGGAGUUAUUGGGGUUAAAGGGAGCGUAGGCGGGCCGGCAAGUCAGCGGAAAAGCCCGGGGUUCAACCCGGGCGAGCCGUUGAAACUGUCGGACUAGAGACGGCGAGAAGUACGCGGAAUGCGCGGUGUAGCGGUGAAAUGCAUAGAUAUCGCGCAGAACUCCAAUUGCGAAGGCAGCGUACCGGCGCCGGACUGACGCUGAGGCACGAAAGCGUGGGUAUCGAACAGGAUUAGAUACCCUAGUAGUU